rnacentral:rRNA from 1 species
UACGAAGGGGGCUAGCAUUGCUCGGAAUCACUGGGCGUAAAGCGUACGUAGGCGGAUCUUUAAGUCAGGGGUGAAAUCCUGGAGCUCAACUCCAGAACUGCCUUUGAUACUGGGGAUCUCGAGUCCGGAAGAGGUGAGUGGAACUCCGAGUGUAGAGGUGAAAUUCGUAGAUAUUCGGAAGGAAACACCAGUGGCGAAGGCGGCUCACUGGUCCGGUACUGGACGACUG